rnacentral:rRNA from 1 species
AACCGGGGCUAAUGCCGGAUAACAUGUUGAACCGCAUGGUUCAACAGUGAAAGACGGUCUUGCUGUCACUUAUAGAUGGACCCGCGCCGUAUUAGCUAGUUGGUAAGGUAACGGCUUACCAAGGCGACGAUACGUAGCCGACCUGAGAGGGUGAUCGGCCACACUGGAACUGAGACACGGUCCAGACUCCUACGGGAGGCAGCAGUAGGGAAUCUUCCGCAAUGGGCGAAAGCCUGACGGAGCAACGCCGCGUGAGUGAUGAAGGUCUUCGGAUCGUAAAGCUCUGUUGUUAGGGAAGAACAUAUGUGUAAGUAACUGUGCACAUCUUGACGGUACCUAACCAGAAAGCCACGGCUAACUACGUGCCAGCAGCCGCGGUAAUACGUAGGUGGCAAGCGUUAUCCGGAA